GGGUGACUUAGCAAGUUUUAUAAAAAGGAUCUCAGUGUUGCUUGGGAGAAGCACACAGGAAAGGGCCGUGCUGAAGGAGCGCACAUUGAAGAAAUGUGAGGAUAGGUAGGACCUAGCAGGUUACCUGGGCUGACACGUUCGAUCCCGGGCUGCUCGUGGUGAUCGUUGGGGUGUGGACAGCAGGGGACUUGGCGGAACAGUCCCCCUGAGGUGUGAACAUGUUACUUAGGUGUAUAUGUAAGCUCUGCCUUAGAAGCUCGUUUGCAUCCUUGUCAAUGAAUAAGAUGAGGAGGAGGGCAGAAGCAGAGGCUGAGCCCUGUGGUUAAGGAGACUCAAGCCAGACGAGGAUGGACUCAGCCACUGCAAUCACACGGCUGCCGGCUUCCACAAUGGAGGGAGCACUCCGAGGACUGCAGCUACAGAAAGAUUUGACGCCACCCUGACGGUGUGCAUUGGCACCUUCUGCUUGGCAGCACCAUUCGGCCCACACGCCUCGUCUUUGAUGUGCUGGAUCCCCAGGACUGGAACCUGGCUUUGCCCCUUUCAAGGGCCUUUCUCCCACCCACAAGAAACCCAACACUGGAACUGCUCUCAUCUCCUCCAGACUCACCCCUUGCAUCAAGCAGCCUCAUUUCUGAUGGUAAUGGGGUGUCAUCCGGAAAGGGUGGGAGCAGGAGAGGAGACACAAAUUCGGUGCCCUGCAGGUACCUGGGGCUGUCAGAGGAACCGGGUAGAAAUCCAGUAAUGCAUGUUUAAUGUAUUAAAAAGGAAGGGAAAAAAGCAAAGCGUCCACCCGAUGUUCCGGCCGCCGACUUGCAUUGGGGGCAUUAUCUCGGGCCAGUGGACUCCGAGCAAGUCAAGUGUGGAGACGUGGACAGGGGCCAGGGCACCCCCACCUGCGGCUGUCAUAUCUGCUGAAGGCCCACUUGUCAUAGCCGGACGGGGGCAGGAGGGGGACAAACAUCUCAGCCG
rnacentral:lncRNA from 1 species